rnacentral:rRNA from 1 species
UACGAAGGGGGCUAGCGUUGUUCGGAAUCACUGGGCGUAAAGCGCACGUAGGCGGAUCGUUAAGUCGGGGGUGAAAUCCCAGGGCUCAACCCUGGAACUGCCUUCGAUACUGGCGAUCUUCGAGUCCGGGAGAGGUGAGUGGAACUCCGAGUGUAGAGGUGAAAUUCGUAGAUAUUCGGAAGAACACCAGUGGCGAAGGCGGCUCACUGGGACGGUAUUGACGCUGAGACGCGAAAGCGUGGGGA